rnacentral:rRNA from 1 species
CUCAGGACGAACGCUGGCGGCGUGCCUAACACAUGCAAGUCGAGCGGGGACAUGGAGGAGCUUGCUCCGAAGUGUUCUAGCGGCGGACGGGUGAGUAACGCGUGAGCAAUCUGUCCUGUACAGGGGGAUAACAGAUGGAAACAUCUGCUAAUACCGCAUGAGACCACAGCUUCGCAUGGAGCAGGGGUCAAAGGAGAAAUCCGGUACAGGGUGAGCUCGCGUCUGAUUAGAUAGUUGGUGAGGUAACGGCUCACCAAGUCUACGAUCAGUAGCCGGACUGAGAGGUUGGACGGCCACAUUGGAACUGAGAUACGGUCCAGACUCCUACGGGAGGCAGCAGUGGGGAAUAUUGGGCAAUGGGCGAAAGCCUGACCCAGCAACGCCGCGUGAAGGAAGAAGGUCUUCGGAUUGUAAACUUCUUUUAUAAGGGAAGAACUAUGACUGUACCUUAUGAAUAAGCCACGGCUAACUACGUG